rnacentral:rRNA from 1 species
UACGUAGGUGGCAAGCGUUGUCCGGAUUUACUGGGCGUAAAGCGCGCGCAGGCGGCCCUUUAAGUCCGUCGGUCAAAUGCCGGGGCUCAACCCCGAUGCAUGCCGAGGAUACUGGAGGGCUGGAGACACGUAGAGGCAAGCGGAAUUCCGGGUGUAGCGGUGGAAUGCGUAGAGAUCCGGAAGAACACCGGAGGCGAAGGCGGCUUGCUGGGCGUGAUCUGACGCUGAGGCGCGAAAGCGUGGGGAGCGAACAGG